UAAUGAGAUGCCUGAAAAAAAGGAUUAUUUUGAUAGAAUAAAUUAUGCGUUUAUCGCUCUCAUUAU
rnacentral:tRNA from 1 species